UGCUUUUUCAAAAUAUUUUAGAUCCGCAGUAGGUUGAAUCAACAGAUGUGGAACCCACAGAUGCACAGGGUUGACUGUACAGCUGAGAAAAAACAACAAGUUCCAGGCCAGGGGCACGAUCCUAUUAACAACAACUAUAUACACAGCUCACAGACAGACGCAUCACAUCCAGAGGAGGGUGGCAGUGCCAACCCAGUGAGCCCAUGGCCAGCAAGGUGUCUGACCUUGAUCUUGAACAGGACUGGCCAGCAUCUGAGACCUCGACCCAGCAAACAGCUUGAGAAAACAUCAGAGGUGUUACUUCAGUGAGCAGCACUACUCUCAGCCCUAAACAGGAAAACAAGGAAGAAACAUGCUUGGGGCGCCUCCUGGGAUGUCACAGCACCCAGAGACGGAGGUUCUGGCUUCAUCUUCACACAACUAGAGCCCCUUGUUUCGGCUCCAUUUUAUAAACAAGGAAACCGAAGCUUAGAAGACACACAGAAAUCACUUCCUGGCUUAACACACACUUGGCUGAAUUCCUUGGUCCACGUAUCGCUCUGAAUCUGAAACAUCCUUUCUGCACCAGCCAUUGACCCAGGAAUUAAAACAGAGCAUUGAACCUCACUAACAAGUGUGUGUUUACAGUUUCUUCACCCAAAAAGUAUUUCCACUUAUCAAGAGAUGGCAUUUCCUCCAGGGACGUAAGCAUCCUGUGUGAGGCGAGAGUGACUCAGAGGGAGGGCCCGGGGAACAGCUCCCAGCAGCACAUGUGUAGUGACUGUGUGAGUAGCCUGUGGCCGCCACAACAGUGACCACAAACUGGGCAGCAAAAGAGGAGAGAAAUGUAUUCCCCCCAGUUCUGGGGGCCAGAAGUCUGAAGUCAAGGCCUCCACAGAGCCCUGCGCCCUCUGAAGCCUCCAGCGGGGAUCCUUCCUGCCUCUUCCAGCUCCUGGUGGCCCCAGGCGUUCCUUGGCUUGUGGCUGCAUCACUCUCAUCUCUGCCUCCGUUUUCACAUGGCCUCUCCUCUAUGUGUGUCUGUAUCUUCUCUUCUGCCUCUUAUAAGGACACCUGUCAUUGGCUUUACAACCCACCCUAAGUUCAAGAUGAUCUCAUCUCAAGAUCCUCAUCUUAAUUUUGUCUGUGAAGACUCUAGUUCCAAAUAAGUUCAUAUUCAUGCAGUCUGGAAGAUUAGAAUGUGGACCCAUCUUUUUCAGGGACAUAAUUCACCCCACUGCAGUGACCGCAGCGGUCAGACUCGUUCACCCACUGCAGUGACCACAGCUGGAUCAGACUUGUUCCCUGUGAAGGGGAUUUCUCAUGAGACGGAGUCACACGAGGGCAGAGACUUGGUUAUCCUCGCCCUGGUAGCUUCAGCAUCUGUGCUGCAUGUGGUAGAGGCUUGAUUGCUCUGAACAAGCACACCGAUGAGUAAAUGAACGAGCGGCCUCACGGAGCAGCGAUGGUGACUUUCUGAUGAAGACCAGGUUUUCAGAUGGCCGGAGGCCUUGGCUUUGAGGUGUCGGUGGGUGCCAUGGUUUAUAUGGCACUGGUUUUAGCCAAGUGCCCACUGGGCCAUGCCAUAUCAUUUAAAGGGUGCUAUAGAAUCCCAGAGUUAUUGAGUAGGAAGGAAGCAUGGACACUCCUCAGUCCAACUUCCUCACCUGGAAGGUGAGAAAACUGAAGCCAGAGAGGAGGAAGGAUUCACCCAGGUCCCCCAGAGUCAGCAGCUAAAGAGAGUAGAGAAUCCAGGCUUCUGACUCCCCAGCCAGUGCUCCAUUGAGACCCAGCACCCUUCAUCAUCGUCUGCAUCGUCCUAAUCUCAGCCACGACUCCCAUGGACUUGGACUCUUCCUGUUUGACUCUGUGUUCAGCAUCUCACAUACAUCAAUUCAUUUAAUCCUCUCAACAACCCAGUGCUGUACAUAGAAUCUUUAUCCCCAUUCUACAAGUGGCACAACUGAGGCCCUCAGAUAAUUUCCCAAAGGUCUGACAGCUAGAAAAUCAUGUAAUCUGAUGCCUAAGCCAGUGCUCCAAGCCAGAGGUAGGCAAAACCAUAGCUUGCAGGACAAAUCUGGCCCAUCACCUGUGACCAUAGCCAGAGUCUGCCACAAAAACAGGAGAAUUCUCUGAGAACACAUCCAGUUUAAUUAGAGUACAGUCACACCCUUUAUUCAAAGCGUCAUCUCCGGCUUCUUUCCUGCUGCAGUGGCAAAGCUGAGUAAUUGGGAGAGACGGUAGGACCUGAACAGCCUAAAAUACUUGUCAUCUGGUCCUUCAUGUAAACGUCUCCUGAACUCUGCUCUAUGCUGCUGAUACUGUAUCAUCUGUUCUAGUCACUGUAUAUAGUACCAUUUAUAUCAACCAUUUAAGGGCUUUGUAUCUAUAAUUCGAGAAAUUUUUACAUUUGAGUCUCAAAUGAAACCCACCAACAAUUAAUUUACAAGGAAGCAGGUACUUCUUGAACAUGACGGCCUUCCCCACUGUGUUUCUAUUUUCACAGGGAUGUUUUCAGACUGGAUGAUCCCGAAAGUGACCCCAUUAGAAGAAGAAGGAAAAAAAAAAAAAAAAAAAGAAAGAAACAACCCUCGCCCCUGCAACCUCCUAAACGGCCCACAGCAUCGGAAUCGGAAGGUCCGUUCAUGCUGAUUUUCUACGUGUCGGGAAUUUCAUGCCAAAAAGCGACUCUUCUACAUUAAUAACGCAUCUCCCCAUCCAUGACAGGAAAUAACAUUACAAAAGCCGGAAAGGACAUCAAACACGCUGGCUUGGCAGCCACAUGUAUAUGUGAAAUUACUGUCAGAGUUCAAAGGCAGGGCUGAGACGUGGAGGGUGCCGUGCGGCGGCGUUACCCCAUGAUGCUUUGGCCUCGUGGGAAUAAGCACAGUGGCAGGUUACUGUGACCUGGCCGUUGGCUUCCUGAUGCCCACAUUGAUUCUGGCACGUGGGACUGCAGGGCUGGGAUUGGAGCUCCCCACACAUCCUACCCCAGCUCAAGAGGCUCACACGUAAAGCAACCUUUCCAGGUUUGGGCAGCCUGGACCAGUGCCUGCACCCAGGGCUGGCCCACGCUGCAGAGCUGACUCUCACGGAGCACUGCACUAAGCAUUAAAGCUUUGCCUCCAGACUCUUACGCAGCCUUGAGAAGUAGGAGCUGUCACGCCCCCUAAUUUAUGGAUGGGGAAUUGAAGAUGAAUUGAGGUUACUUGAUGUACCCAUUGCAUGGAGUAAGUGGAGGAACCAAGGUUCAAGCCCAAAGAUUCCAUCACUCACAACCCCCAGGCUUCACUGCUUCAAUGUGGAAGCUUCUUUGGGAGAUGCAGCCAGCUACGCUCAGGCAAGGUUGGACCUGAAGGUGUGAAGAGCUCACCUUUCUGGAUAAGGCAAGUCACUGACCCCCUUUUGGAGAUGGAGUUUGCAUCAACCUUCAUGGCAAGAGGGAUCAUGACAUGAAUGAGAGGGCAGCAAUUUGACCAAAGGCUCUUCUAGCUAGACAGGUAACUUGGCUCAUCAUCCUGACUCAUUAAACUGCCUGGUGAGCUCCUAUGCAUUCUUCAAAACCCAGUUUAAACAUUCCUUUCACCAUGAAGAUUUCCUUGCCCCAUAAAAAGUCAAUCAACGCUGUCUUUGUGCCCCUGCAGUGUAUGUGUUGUGAAUGCUUCUGUCUUGACACAGACUGCUUUGCCUUGAAUGUAUGUGGCUCGCUCUCUGUCUAGUACCUUCAUGAAAGACAGGAAUUGUGCUCAGUGUGCCUGUGGACACCAGCUUGGAUUAACAGGAGCAAUGCUAGUAACACCCAGCACUAGUUAAUCACGUACUGUGUGCUGGGCACUCCUCUAACGGGGUCGUGUGCACUCAUCCUUAAAACACCGUAGGACGCUGGUGUGAUUAUUAUUUCCAAUGGCCAAGUGUGUAGGCUCUGAAGCCAGGCCACCUGGGUUUGAAUCCUGGCUCGGCCUGUGACCUUGAGUGAGUUACUCAGCCUCUCCGUGUCUCGGGAUUCUCAGUGACAUGGGGAUAAUCACAGCAGUCACCCAGUGAGGGCUGGAGCCAACUCCAGCAAGAGCGAACUAUUAAAGCUUAAAGGAUUUUGCCAUCAUUAAACAUGACGUUGUGCACACUUAGAGUGGAAUAAGCUCUAUUAAAAACAAACGUAAUAAACACUCAAAAGUCAUCACUUCCUAAUGAUUUCCCCACAUUUUACUUUCCUCUCUGCCCUUAAGGAUACUCAUGUUUAUUGACUCACUUUGGUGGAAACACUCAAUAAUGAUGAGCUUGCACACUGCUUCCCAACUGUAUGUUCAGUGGCCUCACACCGGUUGAAAUCAGACAGAAAGAGGGGAUUUACACCAUGGAGACUGGCAAGUGCUACAACCCAUGGUUUCUUUAACCUUGGAAAGCCGCUUGGUAAGCAUUCCCCAGCACACCAGUGUAACUACCUCAUAGCAAGCACACAGUAAGCUGUCAAUAUGCAUUAGCUACUAUUGCUGUUACUACAGAGAAGACAGAGGUUAAAUCACUAGCCCAGGUUAUGAAAGACCCAGGUAUGACCCCAGACAUAGCAGCUCCCAAUCUGGUCCCUUAACCAGCUCGAACUCAAGGCAGACCACAGAGUAGUGGCCAAGAAAUGUAUUCGGUUGAAUAAACAAACAUUAAAUUAGUAGAUCUCGAAUCUGCUGGCCACAGAAGUGCCUGGGGAGCUUUGUUUGGACGCA